rnacentral:lncRNA from 1 species
UGAUACUGUGACUACCAACGCACCUCUGUCAGGCUGUCCUUGUGUCUGAGCAUAGCACCACUAGCAUCUGCUCUUGACUGAGUUCUCAGGAGCUCGGACCUGCUAGAAAAGAUGACAGCUUAUCCUUCCAUUAAUCUAGAGGUAAAAACAGGAAAAAGGGAAUUAAAGUCAAAAGCAGAGGAAAAGGCAUCCCAACUUUGGGGUGAUGGAAAGCUCCAACACAAGAGCUACCCUGCAGAACUAGAGAGCCAUCAGCCCAAAUGAGAGGAAGACAGAAGCUCAGGAAGAGAACUCUUCAGGAAGAUGAAACUUGGUAAGAAAACUAUUGAUGGACACACUAAGCCUAUAGAACUCUGGCCCUUAAAGCUUACAAACCUGGGGUAGAAUUUAGAUAUUAUCAUAGAAUUCAUUGUAAAUACAGAGAAAACUGCGCAAAGAAAACAAACAAAAUUUUUGUUUUGUUUUGUUUGAGACAGGGUCUCGCUAUAUAGUUCAGGCUGGCCUUGAACUCACUGUGUAGCCUAGGCUGGCCUCAAGCUCAUGGUGCUCCUCCUGUCUCAGCCUUCUGAGUGCUAGAAUUACAGGCAGGCACCACUACACCUGGCUAAAACCAGACAAAUGUUGACAAAAUGUGCAGGAAAAGUCAAGCCAUCAUAUCUGAGUACAUAAUUGCAUUUACCUAGUCAAAAUAAUAAAUAGUAAAUUCAAUAUAACCACUUACAUAAUUAUAUAGGGCAAGUUGCUGUGUGUGUGUGUGUGUGUGUGUAAAUUCCACAUAAAAAGCAUAAAAGUGAG